UACGAAGGGGGCGAGCGUUGUUCGGAUUUACUGGGCGUAAAGGGCGCGCAGGCGGCUAUUUUUGUCAGGCGUGGAAGCCCCGGGCUUAACCUGGGAACAGCGCUUGAGACGGGAUGGCUAGAGAUCGGGAGAGGAGAGUGGAAUUCCCAGUGUAGAGGUGAAAUUCGUAGAUAUUGGGAAGAACACCGGUGGCGAAGGCGGCCCACUGGAUCGGUACUGACGCUGAGGUGCGAAAGCGUGGGGAGCAAACAGG
rnacentral:rRNA from 1 species